rnacentral:rRNA from 1 species
AUUGAACGCUGGCGGCAGGCCUAACACAUGCAAGUCGAACGAGUGGCGGACGGGUGAGUAAUGUCUGGGAAACUGCCUGAUGGAGGGGGAUAACUACUGGAAACGGUAGCUAAUACCGCAUACCAUCGGAUGUGCCCAGAUGGGAUUAGCUAGUAGGUGGGGUAACGGCUCACCUAGGCGACGAUCCCUAGCUGGUCUGAGAGGAUGACCGGCCAACCGGGAAGUGAGACACGGUCCAGACUCCUACGGGAGGCAGCAGUGGGAAAUAUUGCACAAUGGGCGCAAGCCUGAUGCAGCCAUGCCGGGUGUAUGAAGAGGGCCUUCGGGUUGUAAAGUACUUUCAGCGGGAAGGCGUUACCCGCAGAAGAAGCACCGGCUAACUCCGUGCCAGCAGCCGCGGUAAAC